AAAAGUUAAAAUUUGUAUGCAGUUGGAAUGUUUGCCUAAGUUUGCCGCUAGAGGCGCUGUUCCAACUCCAUACAAAUUCGAGUUA
rnacentral:pre_miRNA from 1 species